rnacentral:rRNA from 1 species
AUGGCGAGGACCACGACCAUGCGCGGGGCGACGGUGUGCAUGCUUCUGCUGCUGCUCGUCUCGACGGCCACGGCCACGGCGACGGAGAGCCCCCAGCGCCGGGACCUGGCGGAAGAGGGCACGAGCCCGUCGGCGGCGAGCCCGAGUGCCGACGGCGCCCCGGCCGACAAGGAACCCCCGGAAGGCCACCUCGGCUUCCGCGUCGUCACUGGCCUCAUCGAGAAGGCCACCGGCAAGAGCGCCCGUCUGGACCUGGAGCAAGAGGAGAACGUUCAUUAG